rnacentral:rRNA from 1 species
CUCAGAUUGAACGCUGGCGGCAGGCCUAACACAUGCAAGUCGAGCGGAUGAGUGGAGCUUGCUCCAUGAUUCAGCGGCGGACGGGUGAGUAAUGCCUAGGAAUCUGCCUGGUAGUGGGGGACAACGUUUCGAAAGGAACGCUAAUACCGCAUACGUCCUACGGGAGAAAGCAGGGGACCUUCGGGCCUUGCGUUAUUAGAUGAGCCUAGGUCGGAUUAGCUAGUUGGUGAGGUAAUGGCUCACCAAGGCGACGAUCCGUAACUGGUCUGAGAGGAUGAUCAGUCACACUGGAACUGAGACACGGUCCAGACUCCUACGGGAGGCAGCAGUGGGGAAUAUUGGACAAUGGGCGAAAGCCUGAUCCAGCCAUGCCGCGUGUGUGAAGAAGGUCUUCGGAUUGUAAAGCACUUUAAGUUGGGAGGAAGGGUAGUAACCUAAUACGUUGCUACUUUGACGUUACCGACAGAAUAAGCACCGGCUAACUUCGUG